rnacentral:ncRNA from 1 species
CUGCGGUGUCUGCAUAGGGUAAAAGGGAAACAGGUGUGAAUCCUGUACGAUCUCGUCACUGUAUUGGAGGAGUAUAUGGCGGUGCGCUUUUCGCGCAGUCACUGAUAGAUGAAAAUAUUGGGAAGACAGUCAUAUGCGUUGAUAACUGAGCCAGGAAACCUGCUGGAUGUUU